rnacentral:rRNA from 1 species
GACAGAGGGUGCAAACGUUGUUCGGAAUUACUGGGCGUAAAGCGAGUGUAGGCGGUCCGAUAAGUCGGGUGUGAAAGCCCUGGGCUCAACCCAGGAAGUGCACUCGAAACUGCCGGGCUAGAGUAUCGGAGAGGUUGGUGGAAUUCUCGGUGUAGAGGUGAAAUUCGUAGAUAUCGAGAGGAACACCGGUGGCGAAGGCGGCCAACUGGACGAAUACUGACGCUGAGACUCGAAAGCGUGGGGAGCAAACGGG